CAGGACAGAACGAGUCUUAUGUUGUCUUAGCUUCCCUUUGGAUAUUUAUUUUCUGGUAUUUGCUUGUGUAUUUGGUAUAUAAAUCCUACUACAGGUUUGGAAAUACUGAAAUAGAUUUGUUUUAAAAGUCUGUUAUUUUUGUGGUGUCGUACUUGAAACGACCACACUUGUUGGGUCGGGCUAUUUACAUUUGGUCCGUCUGUCUGUCUGUCUGCCCCUUUAUUAUUUGUUUACCUUUAGGUUUAUUGGAAAUGUUUUAGUUUUACUCCAAC
rnacentral:lncRNA from 1 species